AUUGAACGCUGGCGGCGGGCCUAACACAUGCAAGUCGAGCGGAUGAGAGGAGCUUGCUCCUCGAUUCAGCGGCGGACGGGUGAGUAAUGCCUAGGAAUCUGCCUAGUAGUGGGGGACAACGUUUCGAAAGGAACGCUAAUACCGCAUACGUCCUACGGGAGAAAGUGGGGGAUCUUCGGACCUCACGCUAUUAGAUGAGCCUAGGUCGGAUUAGCUAGUUGGUAGGGUAAAGGCCUACCAAGGCGACGAUCCGUAACUGGUCUGAGAGGAUGAUCAGUCACACUGGAACUGAGACACGGUCCAGACUCCUACGGGAGGCAGCAGUGGGGAAUAUUGGACAAUGGGCGAAAGCCUGAUCCAGCCAUGCCGCGUGUGUGAAGAAGGCCUUCGGGUCGUAAAGCACUUUAAGUUGGGAGGAAGGGCUCAUAGCGAAUACCUGUGAGUUUUGACGUUACCAACAGAAUAAGCACCGGCUAACUUCGUGCCAGCAGCCGCGGUAAGAC
rnacentral:rRNA from 1 species